UCCUCCUGCCUCAACUUCCCAAGUAACUGGGAUUAUUACAGGCAUGAGCCACAGUGCCCAGCCAAGGUAUUUUUUUAAUAGCAACAAAAAAUGGAUGAGGAUAAAGUCAUUUAUGAUUUGUAGAUCUUAAAUGAGUCUGCAGUGAACAGCCCUGUACAUGUUUCUCGAGAGAAGACUCCCCCCCAACAUACAGGUGGGUUACUGGGCCAUAGGAAUAGUGCUUUCCUCGUUAUUGACAUGUGUCCAAUUUGCUCACUAGCAUGUCUAAAACAGAACCCACUUCUACCAGUGCCAUGUGAUACCUCCUACAAUGCUAUUUAUUCAGUGUACUCUUGGACAGUGUUAUUUCCUGAAUACAAAAUCAGUUACAAGGAUUAUAUCAUUCCUGGCCUUUUUCUUCUAUUUUCCCUUAAAGUCUUACAUUUUUCAGUCAUGAAUUCUACCACUAGAAUUUUCCCAAAUCUAAACCUAGCAGCAAGAAGAAACCACUACCCUGAAUAUUAUGGGGUGGAGUAUGCGUGUGUGUACAGGUCUGUGUUUGUAGCUUUGUAUCAAAGGCAAGAAGGAAAAGGAACUGGGAGGGGCCAGACUUCUGCAAUGUCUUCUCAACAAUGCAUCAACCCCAGAAGAAAGGUGGAUACUCAGGGUGACCCCAAUCCACUCUCCUUUUCUUCCUUCUUAAUUUGUUAUGGGUCAGGGGGAGGGUUGUCCCAGGAAGUCACCCUAUAGUUCCAUCUUACCUGCUUCCUUACCACCACCAAACCCCCAAACACUUCUCUAAGCCAUAUAAGCCCAGGGGAGAGGGGGAGAGGUGUGCUGUGUGAGGGAGGGGCCCUCCACGUGUUCAUCUGGGGUAAAGGGCUGACUUUUGGCCCCCAGCCUAAGUGCUCUCUGUCCAUGCCAAAGGCUGCUGCUGCAUCUGGGCCUGUGGGGAUGGGAGCGCUGCCAAAAUCCUAGACUGGGCACUGACAGUGGAGAGCCUAGAUCCUGGCCACUGACCCUGUGCCUCAGCCCCAGGGCCAGACAAAACUAGUCUGGAGUUCCUUUCCCAUAGACCCUGAACCAGGGAGCCUUCAAGACCUCUGAAAUUGACUUGAGAAGGGAUGGGAUGAGGGAUGAUUAAAAGGACCACCACCAAACUGCUUGUCUCAAACAAGAGGCAUUUCAAGAGACAGGGACCUAAAGUGAAUGCAAUUCACUUUAUACAAUUCACAGCUAAGCGAGUGUGUGGAGGGUCCUGAUCCAAGGUAUAGUUUAGGAAGGAUCCCCACCUCCCCAACACCUGAAGUGUGGCCUGCAGGAAUUGUUUGCCUUGUUCUUCAUCAACAAAGAUGAAACCUGAAAACCUCAGUGCCCUUGUUCUACAGACUUCCGUUGACUUUGAACAGUCUGUCCUCAGGACAACAGGUGGCUUACUCAGCCUGGUGGACAGGAGGCUUACCCAUAGGCUUAGGGCAACCCAUCAAGGACCUCACGGCCGAGUCCCGCCCACCAGCCAAUGAGGACGCGCAGAGGUGACUUCACUAUAUCCUGUUUCCCAGCCCAGUCCGGGCGGAUGGGACAAGCUGGAGAAAAGAGCCAGACGGCUGAUGGAGACCCUGAUGAAUGGUUGGACAUGAAGUCACUGGAGACCCAGGCUCUGGAACAAUCUGAUCCAGACUACAAGAAAAUGGGACUGAAACAAAGAAACCAAAGACUUCUUCAGAAAAGUUGUAAAGGGUCAAAAGAGGGUCCUUAAUUAGAUACCAGAGAUCAAGGCUAGAAAGGGGCUAUAGACCAGGACUCUUGGAAAAUCCGACCAUAUUUGGUACACACCUAAGAAAGUUCAGAGUCAGAAUUAACUCUACUUUUAAAUCUAAAGAAGAACCAGGAUUAAACUAAAUAAAGAACAACAGCCCUAGUAAUU